rnacentral:rRNA from 1 species
AUUGAACGCUGGCGGCAGGCCUAACACAUGCAAGUCGGGCGAGUGGCGGACGGGUGAGUAAUGUCUGGGGAACUGCCCGAUGGAGGGGGCUAACUACUGGAAACGGUAGCUAAUCCCGCAUACCAUCAGAUGUGCCCAUAUGGGAUUAGCUUGUAGGUGGGGUAAUGGCUCACCUAGGCGACGAUCCCUAGCUGGUCUGAGAGGAUGACCAGCCACACUGGGACUGAGACACGGCCCAGACUCCUACGGGAGGCAGCAGUGGGGAAUAUUGCACAAUGGGCGCAAGCCUGAUGCAGCCAUGCCGCGUGUAUGAAGAAGGCCUUCGGGUUGUAAAGUACUUUCAGUCGGGAGGCGGUACCGACAGAAGAAGCACCGGCUAACUCCGUGCCAGCAGCCGCGGUAAUAC